AAAAGUGGCGAGCUGAUGAGAAGAGUCCAGUGCUUCCAGAUAGCCCAGAACAAGUGCUUAUCAAGUAUGCCAAAGACUCACACUAUAGGAACGGCUUCUCCAUACAUGAUCGUAACACCAUGGAAACACUGCAUGUUCCACGAUGUGACCCAGGAGGCCUUCAGUGUGGCUUUCAUUGGCAUCAACUAGGGUCAGUUUUUUUUUUUUUUUUUUUUUUUUUUUUCCUGACAUUGUGGAUUUCUGUGAAAUGAUGGCCAACGCGGGCAAGACAGUGAUUGUGGCGGCACUGGAUAGAGCCUUCCAGAGGAAGGCUUAUGGCAGCAUCUUGAACCUGGUGCCCCUGGGAGAGAGUGUGGUGAUGCUCACCACCAUGUGCUUGGAGUGCUUCCGAGAAGCUGCCUACAUGAAGAGGCUGGACCUGGAGAAAGAGGUGGAGGUGAUUGGUCGAGCAGACAAGUAUUAUUCCAUGUGCUGCCUGUGCUACUUUAAAAAGUCUUCAGCCCAG
rnacentral:lncRNA from 1 species